AAGGGAGUCUGGAAACUGUAGGUUUUAGCUUGCUAGUCUCUUCAGUACAGGAAGGUACACUAGAAAGUUGGAAUAGACAUACAUUCUGCAUCUUCCAUCCCAUAGAUACCUCACUUAAUAUUUGCAGAAAACCUAGAAAGCGAUAGGAGAGGUGUUAGCCUCAUUCAGCACGGAAGAAAAGAGAGGAGUGAUGAGGCUAGAAGAGAAUGGAGGGGAGACAGACCCGGGACUUGCUUUGAGCAAGUGAUAUUUGUGUUGGGGCUGAAGAGUGUCGCGGGUUAAACUAGCUGAAGGGCUGAGCAGGAGCAAUAUUCUAGGCAGGAGAAAUAGCAUGCCUAAAAGUCCUGAGGCUAGAGGGAAUGUGAUACAGCCACGGAACUGAAAGAAAAAGGGGCCAUGACUGUAGAGGGGAAGUAGUGGCUGCAAAAUGAGGCUAGAGAAGCACCAGAAAGAAAAACAAGCCCUGCAGGCCCCACUAAGAAUUUGGUCUUUUUUCUAGAGCAAUGGGAAGGCAGUCAAUGGUUUAUGGAUGGGGGAGGUGUGUGUGGGACUUGAUCAUGUUUGCACUACAGGGUCACUGGCUGUUCUGUGUCUCCUGACUCCAUGACUGUACUCACCAGAGUCCACAAUUUGACACCAAGUGGUCACUCUCCUGUAUUACUAAAGUGGUUUCAUUUUUGCAUCAUUCCUACAUCUUCACUCCAAGCAACAAGAGAAAAAACAGCAGCAAGAGGAGGUCCACGAAUCUGGGAAGGUUUCAGAGAUGACAAGGAAAAUCUUCAUUACCAUUUCAAGAACUGGGAACAAAGAAAAAUCCCAUUCCAGGACACAGGGAGGAAAUGCUCAUAGUUGAAUAGAAACUGUUGAAGAUUACCAUGGGAAUGCACCUGUGAACUUCCAGGGGGCUGUGCCCCCCAUCAGGUCAGUUUUCUUUAUGUCAUUCACAAUUUCCAGGGAUCAUGUCCAUGAUAAAGAACAAGAACUUUUUCACAGGCUACUGAAGCAUAUGUUUGACUUCCUAAAGAGCCAGCCGGGCACAAUGGCUCACACAUGUAAUCCCAGCAUUUUGGAAAGCUGAGGCGGGUGGAUCACCUGAGGUCAGGGGUUCAAACUAGCCUGGCUAACAUGGUUAAACCCCAUCUCUACUAAAAAUACAAACAUUAGCCAGGGGUGGUGGCAGGUACCUGUAAUCCCAGCUACUUGGGAGAAUGAUCCAGGAGAAUCACUUGAACCUGGAAGGCGGAGGUUGUAGUGAUCGGAGAUCCUGCUGUUGCACUUUAGCCUGGGGGACGAGAGCAAGAUGUUGUCUCAAAAAAACAAACAACAAAAAAAAAACC
rnacentral:lncRNA from 1 species